rnacentral:rRNA from 1 species
CAGUCGCCGCGGGAAUACAGAGGGUGCGAGCGUUAAUCGGAUUUACUGGGCGUAAAGCGUGCGUAGGCGGCUUUUUAAGUCGGAUGUGAAAUCCCUGAGCUUAACUUAGGAAUUGCAUUCGAUACUGGGAAGCUAGAGUAUGGGAGAGGAUGGUAGAAUUCCAGGUGUAGCGGUGAAAUGCGUAGAGAUCUGGAGGAAUACCGAUGGCGAAGGCAGCCAUCUGGCCUAAUACUGACGCUGAGGUACGAAAGAAUGGGGAGCAAACAGGAUUAGAUACCCCCGUAGUCCCUGUCUCUUAUAC